UUGACAAAGAAUUUAAGUUUCUAUAUUUACAUGAAUAUUUCUAGUUCCUUACUUAAUUUUCAUUUCAAACAUCAUAUUUGGGAAUAUUCAACGUAUCAGGCUGCAUAAUCUCAACAAUUUUGAGUACAUCCAUCUACUAAUAAAUAUUAUGUCACAUUUACUUGUGGACAGUGGUUCACGCAGCGUGAGCGUGUGAGUGAGCGUGCACGGGAUUGGACCAGAAUUGUCUUCAAACUCUUUACUCCGCCUGACGGAGGCAAGCCCGGGCAAAUACCUCUGGACUGGCAUACAACCGAAGUCUUUCAACAGGUGAAUCCCGUUGCUGUGGACAUCGAAGUGUCUGUUUUGCAUAUGAAGUAAAGGUGAGGAGGAAUUCAGGAGGAUCACAACGAUCUGGCUAGAAUCAACUUUCAUGGAGAAGCUGGACUGCUACAUGCCAAGACUGUCUUUAUUCAAGAAGAAAGGAGGUGCUGCAGGGGUGAAAUUGCAGGGGAUCCAGGAAAUGCUGUAUGGGAGCAACACUGUCGAGAAGAGAAGUUAAACCGUGAUCUGUGACCUCCUCGAUGAGAACGUGGAGGACCUUAUCAAAGAAUACCAGGAUGCAGAGGACGCCAACAUCCAAGAGGACCUCACACAUGUCCUCAAGAUCGUCGUGGUCAACAAAGGUGCCACCGAUGACGACAAUCCAGUGGAUGUGGAGAUAGCCAUUGAAGGAGCCGAGGUCCUAUCUGGUAUUUCUAGUGUAGCACAGGCAUGCACCUUCUUGAUGGGCCUUAUCUACGCAUUAAACCUAAGCUACCCCUAAGAACUGAAAUAUACCUUUGAGGUAUUCCAGAAAGUAGAGAGAACCACCUCCAAGGUCCAGUCUCUUGGGAGAAAGUUACUCGCCUAAAUGGCAAGCAUAUAACCCAAAGGUGGAGCUUUUGUGUUUGGAUGAUAGAUCCUUUGUCAGAAUCCAAAAUGUUAAAAUGCUUAAAGUUAACUUUACCACUUGAACUUCUGAGUUUAUUUGAAUGGACAGCUAUUUGUUCAAUUUGCAACACGCAAGUCUGCUAUUUCUGCCAGAGAAAACGGAUUUCAACAUAUUAAAUGCUUACG